UACAGAGGGGGCAAGCGUUGUUCGGAAUUACUGGGCGUAAAGGGCGCGUAGGCGGCCUUCUAAGUCGAACGUGAAAUCCCCGGGCUCAAUCCGGGAACUGCGUCCGAUACUGGAAGGCUUGAAUCCGGGAGAGGGAUGCGGAAUUCCAGGUGUAGCGGUGAAAUGCGUAGAUAUCUGGAGGAACACCGGUGGCGAAGGCGGCAUCCUGGACCGGCAUUGACGCUGAGGCGCGAAAGCCAGGGGAGCAAACGGG
rnacentral:rRNA from 1 species